UAGCCGGUACUCGCGAAUGCUCUAGAUUAGAGUUUGAUCAUGGCUCAGACUUGAACGCUGGCGGCAGGCCUAACACACGCAAGUCGAACGGUAACAGGAAGCAGCUUGCUGCCUUGCUGACGAGUGGCGGACGGGUGAGUAAUGUCUGGGAAACUGCCUGAUGGAGUGGGGAUAACUACUGGAAACGGUAGCUAAUACCGCAUAACGUCGCAAGACCAAAGAGGGGGACCUUCGGGCCUCUUGCCAUCGGAUGUGCCCAGAUGGGAUUAGCUAGUAGGUGGGGUAACGGCUCACCUAGGCGACGAUCCCUAGCUGGUCUGAGAGGAUGACCAGCCACACUGGAACUGAGACACGGUCCAGACUCCUACGGGAGGCAGCAGUGGGGAAUAUUGCACAAUGGGCGCAAGCCUGAUGCAGCCAUGCCGCGUGUAUGAAGAAGGCCUUCGGGUUGUAAAGUACUUUCAGCGGGGAGGAAGGUGUUGAGGUUAAUAACCUCAGCAAUUGACGUUACCCGCGGAAGAAGCACCGGCUAACUCCGUGCCAGCAGCCGCGGUAAUACGGAGGGUGCAAGCGUUAAUCGGAAUUACUGGGCGUAAAGCGCACGCAGGCGGGUCUGUCCACGUCCGGAUGUGAAAAUCCCGGGGGCUCAACCUGNGGGAACUUGGGAUUUCGAAACUUGGNCAGGCUAAAGUCUCUGUAGAAGGGGGUAGAAUCCCGGUGUNACGGUGAAAGCGUGAGAUCUGGGGGAAA
rnacentral:rRNA from 1 species